UACAGAGGGUGCAACCGUUGUUCGGAAUUACUGGGCGUAAAGCGCGUGUAGGCGGCUAUGUAAGUCGGGCGUGAAAUCCCACGGCUCAACCGUGGAAGUGCACCCGAAACUGCGUAGCUAGAGUCCUGGAGAGGAAGGUGGAAUGCUUGGUGUAGAGGUGAAAUUCGUAGAUAUCAAGCGGAACACCGGUGGCGAAGGCGGCCUUCUGGACAGUGACUGACGCUGAGACGCGAAAGCGUGGGGAGCAAACAGG
rnacentral:rRNA from 1 species